CGCGGGGUGGAGCAGCUCGGUAGCUCGCUGGCUCAUAACCCAGAGGUCGCAGGUUCGAAUCCUGUCCCCGCUACUA
rnacentral:tRNA from 1 species